rnacentral:rRNA from 1 species
GACAGAGGGUGCAAACGUUGUUCGGAAUUACUGGGCGUAAAGCGCGUGUAGGCGGCUAAGUAAGUCGGGCGUGAAAUCCCACGGCUCAACCGUGGAAGUGCACUCGAAACUGCAUAGCUAGAGUCCUGGAGAGGAAGGUGGAAUGCUUGGUGUAGAGGUGAAAUUCGUAGAUAUCAAGCGGAACACCAGUGGCGAAGGCGGCUCACUGGACUGGUACUGACGCUGAGGAGCGAAAGCGUGGGGAGCGAACAGG